rnacentral:rRNA from 1 species
UACGUAGGGUGCGAGCGUUGCCCGGAUUUAUUGGGCGUAAAGCGCGCGUAGGCGGCUACUUAAGUCGGAUGUGAAAGCCCUUGGCUCAACUGAGGAAGUGCACCCGAAACUGAGUGGCUUGAGUACUAAAGAGGGUCGCGGAAUUCCCGGUGUAGAGGUGAAAUUCGUAGAUAUCGGGAGGAACACCGGUGGCGAAGGCGGCGACCUGGGUAGAUACUGACGCUGAGGCGCGAAAGCGUGGGGAGCAAACAGG